rnacentral:tRNA from 1 species
CGUUUUAGAAACAUCAGUGGCCAACAGAUCGCCAGAUCGUUGAGCUGCAUUGGCGGGAUUUCGCCGUCUUCGUUUCUCUUUCUUCGCGGACGAACACGCGCUGGGGCUGCAGGCUUGCAGAUCCCUGGUCCUUGACUGGAUAUGCGUUAGGGGCUUGUAGCUCAGUUGGUUAGAGCGCGCGCUUGAUAAGCGUGAGGUCGGAAGUUCAAGUCUUCCCAGGCCCACCACUUUCAUCGAGUGUGCAUUCGUCUUCUGGUUACGGGGCCAUAGCUCAGCUGGGAGAGCGCGUGCUUUGCAAGCAUGAGGUCGUCGGUUCGAUCCCGUCUGGCUCCACCAGAUGGUUUGAUCACCGAGAUCUUGUACCGUCGUCCGCGAAACAUCACUUCGCACUUGCUAGUCCGGAUGGACAGUAAGCUGCGUGAUUUCUGACAUCGUAAAGAGGAGAUCGAUCCGAGUUGGAUCGUGCGGAGAAUAUCUGCGCGAUACUUCAUUAUCUCCGGAUCAUUUCGGCGCUCGCGCGCCCUUUCAGUGUAGCUCACAAGGCUGCGGCUGAGAGACGGGCGAGUUGUGAAUGAUCCUUUUAGCGAAGCUUGACCGCCUCGCUAUCGGAACGAUCUUACGAAGCAAGCUGGUCUUUCUAGUCAAUGUCCGGCUGCAGAUAGCGUUCAUCGAGGGCGCGUGCCGCAAGGUAAUUCUGCAGACAACAUUCUGCCGAGUGUGUGGACAUUGAUAAUGAGAGCAAUCAAGUGCCUUAAGGGUGUUCGGUG